CUUCAUGAGGGAAUUGAAUUAAACAUCUACACCCGGGCUGCUUUAGGGAGGUUGCCCCAAGCCGUGAGCCUGCAGGCCCGGGGAUGACAGGCAGUGGGAGGACGUGGGUGGCCUCUUAAAGUGGGUUAAUUGAAGAGAGCCAUCUCAAGCCCUAGAGGAUUAGAAAGCGGAGCCGUAGAGAAAGGACCCUGCGGGAACUCAGAGGCAGGCAGGGCCUGGCCCAGCUCCCUCCAGGGCCCAACGAAGGAGGCACGCUGCAGGUGUCCACAGGCUAGGCCUUCCCUUCCGGCCACCCAGUGGCUCAGUCCACCCUGGGUUUGGGUUACUUAAUCCCCACCCCCUCGGGGUGUUGGACAGAGUGGCCUGUCCCUACUGCCCACUCAGGGCACUGGAGACAGGAGGAGCCAAUGGUUACUCGGUGUGGCCGGCUGCAAAGACAUCACCUGGAUCCCUCUCCAGGCUCCUGGGUCACAAUCUCUAUCUUGACAAGCCUCCUCCCGGGACCCUGUCACCAGCCUGCUCAGUGCCUUUGACAUCCUCCCAGUUCCCACACCCACAGGACGAGGUCCAGCUCUGCAACCUGGCAUUCAAGACUUCCCGACUCUACCCUGAAUGGCCUCACUCCCCUCGUCGUACUUCCUCAAGAAUCUGCCUGCCAAUGCAGGGGACACGGGUUCAAUCCCUGGUCUGG